AUAAAGAAAGACAAUGAAUAGAAAUUGAAUAGAAAAACUGGAAAAAGACACAUCUUAUGCUGUACUUAGAUGUCUAUAGACUGUCAUACACUGUCCUUCGAGGUCUAUAGACUGUCGUAUGCUGUUUUUAGAGGUCUAUAGACUGUCAUACACUGUCCUUCGAGGUCUAUAGACUGUCGUAUGCUGUUUUUAGAGGUCUAUAGACUGUCAUACACUGUCCUUCGAGGUCUAUAGACUGUCGUAUGCUGUUUUUAGAGGUCUAUAGACUGUCAUACACUGUCCUUCGAGGUUUAUGGACUGUCGUAUGCUGUUCUUAAAGGUCUAUAGGCUAACG